UUCCAGCCCGCUUCGAACACCUGCGUCACGGCGCUGGGUCCGCUUGGAGAAACAAGAGAAAGUCCCCAUGUCCGCAGGAACAGCAGAGGACCUGUCUGAGUUUGCUUCAGGACCUGCUUCACAGUAAAAGCCAACGGCAUACUUCAAAUUGGAAUCUGGAGGGUAAACAAAGAGAAACUACAGCUCCCUGGAGAAUUUGGGUGUGAAGAGUUCAAGCAUGGACCCAGGCUGAACAGCAACUACAGCAUGAAGACUUUUAUAAAUCUAUGCUGAGAGGCAGCUGGUACAUUCUUAUUCUUUAAAAAGCAAGACCAGAAGGCAAACACUAGCAGCAGCAGCAGCCCCAGAGGCAGUGCUCUGGCUAGAGUAUUUUUCCACCACAGCUCUUUAGCAGAGCCAGGAAAAUCACACUUCUGUUAAGUCACUGGAGCACUUGGGGUUGUGACGCGCCAGAAACUUCUCUCUGAGUUGAUAAAGACACUUCUGUACUUGCUUAGUGUCUUGAAAGCGCCAAAGCCUAGCUUUUUUUUUUCUUCUGAGUGGCAGAAGAAUGGAAACCAGUCUGAAAUUUCCUCAGUGCCUUCAUCCUUUCCUGAUACUUCCUUAUCAGCAUCCCACAGGGCCAGCUUCCCCUGUGUAGGUAUGGUAAGAUUUUCCUGAACAUUUCCUUAACUUUAGCCUAGGAGUAAGUGGACUUCUUCCUACACCUUCUAUCCCUCCCACAGAGACAUGUUUCUCUAUUUCCCUAUCUUCUGUCUCUCCCUUCACUGAACUACCUACUGCCUUUCAGGAUAAUGGUUCAGAGGAAAGGUGUGACAGAUGGGGGAGCACCAGAAGCAUUUCUGGCACCACAGCCAAGAUAUGCUGCGGUAUUUCUCCUACCCAAUAAACCUUCACUGAGUUCUUCUAAGUAAUUCAGAGAAAUCCUUAGAAAAGAAAAAAAUUAGAAGUGGCCAUGCCUAUCAUGGAGAAUCAAAAAACUCCCCAAACCCAGCAGCAACUACAACUGCAGGAUGAGUAUUUAUGCAGCUUGUCACAAAAACAUCGAGAGACCUGAGAGCUCAAAUCUGAGCAAGCACAUUGUGAGAGGCUGAGGAAGAGUCUAUGAAACCCGAGAGUACGCUUAAGUAUUUAACAUGUCCCAUGUCUACCUUUGGUCACACAGUUGUUCCCUAUCGCUCUCAGCUACACUGUUACCAUCCACAUGCAGGAAGUGCUCCAUCACUUUCUAACAUGCCUGUCUUCUAAGGAGGUCGAUAGAACUUACUCUCUGGCUGAGAUCCCAACUCUGUCAUAUACUCUCUGAUGCUACAUAACAGCAAAAAGCUAAUGUGAAAACACUGCAAAGGACAGGCUAAUAAAAUCACGCAAUGAAUCAAGAAAGGAAAGAUAAUGUACUUUUUUUCCCCUCCUUCCACUUGUUUACAAACAAGGUAUUUAACCUCAGAUGUUAAAACAAUAUUCCCAGAGGGAAGAACAGCUGAGGGGUAGUGUUAGAAGUUCAAAGGAAAUUCCUCACGCCACUUCUGUGAAUAAUCCCAUUAUCUCUGCUAUGCAAUAUGUUGCUUUAACCUGACUAUUAUUCAUCAUUUCCACUGUGACAUCAGUAUUCAGCACUCAUUUCACAACAGCCUGCACAAAAGCAGGCUACUGUGAAAUAAAUGUCUACUGCCAACUCCAACACUCUUGAACAUUACUCCAUUCUCUCUUUGCUAGUCCAAGAAGCAAGCUGCAGGACACUUACUGUGGCCUUCCAGAUCACUCGCUUCUCCAACUAAACAUCAUCAUGCUCCAGCAACCUGCAUGGUGUAAGACCUGGCAGCUAUGAAUGAGAGGAGACAAAUCAAGAAGCAUGAAAGAGCAGCAGAAAAUUGCCAGACCAGCACAUCUGGCUGACAGUUUUCUCCAGCACUGUGUGACUAACCAGAACUCAUCCAGAAAUAGUAAGACACUCUUCCUUAAAAACAACAAGAACAACAAAAAGGUAUCAAAAGCACACCUGUGAUUCAUUUUGAUCAAGCCAUCUAUGUGAAGUACUGAAAUAAUACUGAAUUGCUGUGGCUUGGUAAAAUACAAUCAUAUGGAUAA